AAGCUAAGAAACAUAAAUUUGUGAUUGUGUAAUUUUGACGAAAUUCACUACAAAUACUUUUACAGCGAAUUCGUUUCACCCUGGGAAAAGAACAAUAUAAUAUAACCGCAAUUGUAUGUACAUCCUUAGCGACAUUGGGAAACACUGCAAUCUAACUCACUAUGUCUCUAUUGUCGACUUUCUACCAUCCAACUUUUCACAUGCAUCUUUUCAUUUUAUGCACCCAAUAUAGAACAAAAAUACACAAGGAACUCCCUUAUGUAAACUAUCAAGCGGCUCUUAAUACAGAUGAACUCUUAUCAUGUUACUGGAACCAACAAUUCCAGGCGCACUCACGACCACACACACACACACAGCAUUGGAUACCUAUUUCUCAUUCACGUCGGAGUCAACUUGGCAGAUCUGCUUGCCAUCAUGGAUAUGGCAAGCUGACAACCACAACUAUCCAAGGUAAUAGUGAUGGCUUCCACUUAGUCUCUGUUUAGCAGACAGCAGAAGACUUCUCAUCCCACCAUGUUUGGACUAUGUACAACACGAGCCGCAGCGCUGUGACAAAGUGAUUCUCCAGUUUACUGGCAGCUACUCUUAACUUUUUCUUCUUUUUUUUUCCCCCCACCGACCCCAUUAUGUAGUCUUGUGUAAACCGGACAGAAACGUUUUAUUCAUGGUCCUUUUUUUUUUUUUUACCCAUGUAGAUGUAUGAGCCAGUUCUCAGCAGAAUGUUCAGAUCAUCCUCCCAGGGUUCCACCACUGAACAACAGAAAGAAAAAAAAGUGUAUCAAAACAGUAAUGUCUUUCCAAACAAUAUCAUCAGAGUGCUUGGGUUGGAUUACCUAAAGGACACCACUCUGGACACGGGAGCCCAUGUAUCAGCACGUCCAGAUGGACGUCAACAAGCCCACUGGCCGAGAGAGGAGAUCAAAUUCUCCUUAUGAGCUAUCAUAUUUUGCAUAAUCCAAUAAAAAAAUAUAUAUAUAUAUAUAUAUACACAGUAUAUAUCUUGUCCAGGAGCGGCUGAGUCAGUUUAGCCCAGUUCAAUAAUCUCAAUUGCCUCUGGUGUCCACUCCAUUGUGCAGCAGCGCAACACGUGUAGCGACCUGGAUACGUGAUCCAAAGGGGCCUGCUGAACGACGUGUCCUGCUCAGAAGGGUUAGAUGUUCUUGGCGUUUACUGCCUGUCGGUAACUCUGGAAAUUCAUUGCAAUAAUUUUCUCUCCUCCCGGAAUUUUAAAUGUCGAGGCAAAUUUCUCUCUUUUGUUGCUGGGACGGAUCGAGUCCAAGAUCAAGACUUACUGGUCUGAUUUCUGGGCGGUCCAAAUAUUGGCUUUUUUUUUUUUUUCCACCUUCACGAGUUCUCAGGCUUAAAAAACAAAACAAAACAAAAAGAAACUAUUCACUUUCUUGCCUGAAAGCGUUGCUUUUUCUUUUGUUGUUUGCACUCGUGUCAACAUUCUUCUGGUUAAUAUUUUUGCUUUUUGAUAUAAUGUUGGAGCGUUAUCAAGUCCUCCGAGGAGUCUGCAAGUCUAUCUUCUGCAAAGCUAUCAUUUCACCAAGAGAGACAGAGACAGAGAAAGAGGGGGGAAAAAAAGACGCUGUAAUUUCUCAACAUUAGGGAACCGAAUCAGAGUCUAAAUCUGUAAGACACAAGGGAAGAAGGUUGAAAUCAAUUAGUAAGAGGCGGAUAAUUUAGCGGACACUUCAUCAUGUUCUCCUUCUGACUUAAAUCAUAUGUGCCACAGGUUGAGGGGAGACAGGCCGGUACCUCAGGGCAAGAGCUGGUCGGUAGAGAUUGAUGAGCCCGAGCUUAAAUACUUCCGUCAUUAAACCGCAGACGCGACCAUGAUUCACCCUGACAGAUAAAAGGCCGGCGUGUUUUAUUUGAAUAAAAAAAAAAAAAACUCCCACCGGUGAUACAUUUCAUCUCAUUCCCCAUCCUCUUUUCAAUAACUGACGUCAGUGCUGCCGUCGCUCUCCACAUAAAAACCUACCGAGGUAAAAAAAAAAAGAAAGAAAACGACUUUGUUAGGGCUGGAUCGAAAUGAUCCUCGUCUAUUAGGAGUGAAACGGAAACGCAGACAGACCUUUCGGAGGAAAAGCGGAGGGGCGGUGAUUUGUUCUGGACCCAAACCAAAUCACCCAGAUCCAGGUUCUUGGCAGCGGAGCUUUUUUUUUUUUAGCUGACCAGAGAUAUUUUCUGAGAACCUCUGAUGCUGCCAUCAGAUGUGAUUAUCUAUACAUUUCCUGUAUUUUUAGCAGGACUCAUAGCUACACUUAUGUAAAAAAAAAAAUAAAAAAUGGUAC